ensembl:misc_RNA Y_RNA Y RNA
GGCUGGUCCUAAGGUAGUGUGUUAUCAAUUGAUCAAAGUCAGUUACAGAUCGAACUCCUUGAUCUACUCUUUCCUCCUGCUCACUACUGCACUUGACUAGUCCAAA